AAAAGAAAUGAGAUUCUGACUAAACAUCAGGAAAAACUUUCUGUCAGUAAGAGCUGUUUGACAGUGGAACGGUUUCCCUCAGGAGGUUGCGGACUCUCCUUCCUUGGAGGGUUUUAAGCAGAGGGUGGAUGGUCAUGGACAUAGCUGUCAACUUACAGAUUUGAAAAUAAGGGACCAGCAGCCUUGAAAAUAAGGGACCAGCAGCCAAAAUAAGGGACCUGCAGCCUCACCUGUUCCAGGCACUGCAGUCUUUCUGUCCUCCUGCAGUCUGGUCAAACUCAUACUGGUAGCUUCAAGAACACUGUCCAACCAACUUUGUAACCAGAGGUUCAACUGAAUAGAAUCUGAAUCACAUGCACCACAAGGCCUAUGCAGCCUCAACUUAAGAUGGCUCCCUGGCCUGGCUUUGCACUGCAAAGUUUGCAGCAGCACGUGCAACAAAAUGGCAUCCAGCAUUCAAAAACCUCCUCAGCUUGCAUUAACUAGCCACACACAAGGCAUGCAAGCUCCACCCCCCAGUCGUUCUUAGACUUCUUAUUGGGUGAGCAACACAGCCAAGCAACACAGUUGGAGCCUCCCUCCUCCCUGGCCGGCAGGGAGGGAGGGAGAGGAGAUGCUUCCUUUGAAAUUUAAGGGACAUCAUUUAAGGGACAUUUAAGGGACAUCCAGCAAUAAGGGACAGCAGCGGGACAUGGCGCUGGAAUAAGGGACUGUCCCUUCAAAUAAGGGACACUUGACAGUUAUGGUCAUGGAUCUGUCAUGGAUGCUUUAGCUGAGAAUCCUCCAUUGCAGGGGGUUAGACUAGAUGACUACAAUUCUAUGUUUCUGUUAUUCUACGGCCUCAAGAAGGCACAUUUUUCAAUAAUGCUUCAUUGCUUCACAUGCAGGUUUGUAAUCACAUCUGUGAAGUCUCUGAACACCUCACUUUCUGCUAUUACAUCAUUUCAAGUGCUGCUGGAGUCCCUGCCCAUGUGUUUAUACAUAUCAUUCUUCUUGUUGUUGUCUUCUUAAACUACAAGGACUUUUCUUCCUACUGUUUUUUAGACUAAUCAAACAGUACCUCUAAACCAUUUGCAGAUUCACAGUCAGAGGUUAUUGGUGGUGUGUGUGUGCUUGUUUGUGUGUUCAUUUAAUUAUUCGGCUCCUAGAAAUUCUUGGUGCCGGCACUCACAUUUCAUUCACCACAGGCAAAUAUGUUUUAUUCCCUGGACUUCCACAAUUCUCUCCAGACAUACUGAAGUAUCUGUCAAUCACUAUUCCGUGUUGGGGCACAGUGCAUAAACAACAUUUUCAUAAAUUAAGCUUCCCCUUAGCAUAAUUACUUUGUGUGCAUCUCUCACUGAGAGGAAAGGAAAAUGUUUGUCUUUUGUUUACUGACUACGAAGCUGUUUUCUUGAAAUAUGACUAUUGUUGGUGCAUAUUCCUUUGAACAAUAGCCCCAAACGGUUUAAGAUAAGCUCUCAUUAUUGAAUUUGCAUGCUUCCUGUGUGUAUGUGUAGAGCACAGAGCCUUGCUUUUGUCUUCCUUAGAAAGAUGGCAAGACCUGGGUAAGAUUGCUACAUCUGAAUUCUCAAAAUUUGGAUGGCCUAAUUUGCAUAUUAUGCCCAUUUGUUGCUAAUUAUGUAAAUCAGGCACUUUACUUGUUGAUCCCUUUACCAGUUGCUUUUUGUCUGAUCUAAGCAACUAUCUCAAAAGUUGAGGAAGCAUCAGAGGAAGCAUAUUCUUGCAUGACCACUUGCUCUUGCUAGGUUUUGCCUAAGCUUUUUCUUUAAAAAGGUAAAGGUAAAGGGACCCCUGACCACCUGACUCUGGUGUUGCGGUGCUCAUCUUGCUUCGGCGUACAGCUUCUGGGUCAUGUGGCCAGCAUGACUAAGCCGCUUCUGGAGAAACAAGAGCAGUGCACGGAAACGAUGUUUACCUUCCCGCCGGAGUGGUAUCUAUUUAUCUACUUGUACUUUGACGUGCUUUCGAACUGCUAGGUUGGCAGGAGCAGGGACCGAACAACGGGAGCUCACCCCAUCGCGGGGAUUUGAACCGCCAACCUUCUGAUCAGCAAGCCCAAGAGGCUCAGUGGUUUAGAUCACAGUGCCACCCACGUCCCAGCUUUCUGUUUAGAUGACAGCUAAUAGCUUGUUGGGGAGAGAUGUAGCCAGCUGCUCUGUCCUAAGGUUCCUAGUUCUGUUGCUCCAGCACCACACAUUUCUACAUCCAUAUCUUAAUCAAUGUGCAAUAAAAGUUUCAAGGAU